UGCAAAGUAUUCGGACUUGUGUUUAUUUAAAAUAAACUAUAGUCCAACCGAGGGUGAUCUUCGGUGAAUGUCAUCCAACAUGAGUAGUAUUAUGUUUUUGUGGACAAGUGCCACUAACAUCUAAGUGAAUUAACCUCAACAACUUUGUGAUUCUUUAUUCUUUCCAAAAGAAUAAAGAUUCGAACAUUUCGCCUCUUUACAAUUUUAAUAAGAAGGUGUUGGAUCCGGAUCUAACGAUCCAUUGCAUCCAUCUUUCACCAACUCGUAACUUAUGUUUUAGAGGUAUCACAAUUUAGUUGGGAUUAGUCACUAUCUUGCAACCUUUUGGGUUUUAAGCAUCAUUUUAUUCUAAACAGUUAACACCACCAUAUUAUCUCUACUAUAGAGACAAUCAAUUAGAUUACUAUAAUCCAAUCAUUGAUUAAUAAAGAACAAUGUUUUGUCAAACAAAACAUUCAUCCAUCUCUACUAUAGUGACGGAAUUAAAUUCCUUAAAAUUGGAAUGUAAAGACAAUCUUUGUUUUUCCAAUUUCUUUGGUAGUUCAUAUGAGGAAGUAAGUACUAUCUGCUUUCGCAGAGAUCUAUAUUUUAUUCACGUUCCGAAUGUGAAGCACCUUUUCUUCUCUCAUAUAUCUUCUACUUCUUAUUAGUCACACUUUUACAACGAUUGUAAAACAUAGUUACUAAUACGGAAUCAAGCAUUCAAGUAGAAGAACCAACUGUUUUGAAUUAUUCAAGAACAAUUUACAACACCUUCGAAAGGUGUGUUCUUGACACUUGCAAGACAUUUCUUGCAAAUACCCCUUCCAAUGUCCAUCCUUUCAUAAAGUAAGUUUGUUCCCUUGGAGUUAAUUUUAUCUUCUUCAUUUGACUUCUCCUUUGACUACAAUAGUCAUGGUCCCUAAACUCCCACUAUCUCUCUUGAAACUUAUUUCAAUUGUGUUAUACACAUCAAACAUUUUGGAGAGUGUGUGGUUAUUGUUCACCAUAUAGUUUACAAUAAACUUAGUGAACCAUUAGGAUAGGGACACAAAGGUGAAGUCCUUGCCUAGUUUCCAUCUCGUUAAGUGGUUU
rnacentral:lncRNA from 1 species